rnacentral:rRNA from 1 species
UACGGGGGGGGCAAGCGUUGUUCGGAAUUACUGGGCGUAAAGGGCGCGUAGGCGGCGUGUCAAGUCAGGCGUGAAAGCCCCGGGCUCAACCUGGGAACCGCGCUUGAGACUGGCAUGCUCGAGUUCGGGAGAGGAUGGUGGAAUUCCCAGUGUAGAGGUGAAAUUCGUAGAUAUUGGGAAGAACACCGAUGGCGAAGGCAGCCAUCUGGACCGACACUGACGCUGAGGCGCGAAAGCGUGGGGGAGCAAACAGGG